rnacentral:tRNA from 1 species
GCUUUCAUGGUUUAAGUGGUUAGGACGUCCGGCUGCCAAAUGGAAGAAUCAUGGUUCGAAUCCCGAUGAAGGUA